GGCGGCGUGGUGUAAUGGCUAACACAUCAAUCCGGUCUACUGAAGAUGCUGGUUCGAACCAGCCGCCGAAA